CCGAAUAGGGGAGCCGGAGGGAAACCGAGUCUUAAUUGGGCGUUAAGUUGCAGGGUAUAGACCCGAAACCCGGUGAUCUAGCCAUGGGCAGGUUGAAGGUUGGGUAACACUAACUGGAGGACCGAACCGACUAAUGUUGAAAAAUUAGCGGAUGACCUGUGGCUGGGGGUGAAAGGCCAAUCAAACCGGGAGAUAGCUGGUUCUCCCCGAAAGCUAUUUAGGUAGCGCCUCGUGAAUUCAUCUCCGGGGGUAGAGCACUGUUUCGGCUAGGGGGCCAUCCCGGCUUACCAACCCGAUGCAAACUGCGAAUACCGGAGAAUGUUAUCACGGGAGACACACGGCGGGUGCUAACGUCCGUCGUGAAGAGGGAAACAACCCAGACCGCCAGCUAAGGUCCCAAAGUCAUGGUUAAGUGGGAAACGAUGUGGGAAGGCCCAGACAGCCAGGAUGUUGGCUUAGAAGCAGCCAUCAUUUAAAGAAAGCGUAAUAGCUCACUGGUCGAGUCGGCCUGCGCGGAAGAUGUAACGGGGCUAAACCAUGCACCGAAGCUGCGGCAGCGACGCUUAUGCGU
rnacentral:rRNA from 1 species